GGUGCCUGUAAACAAUGGUGCCCCCCCUGCGCCGCGCUCCCUUACCGAUUCCUCCUCCUUCUCCAUCCCUGUGGGCAUCUGCGGCACGGCCCGGUUGAUGGAGACGCAGUCGUUGAGAAUCACACAAUAUUUAGGUUUGGAAGGGACCUCUGGAGAUCAUCCAGUUUAACCAGAGGCACCCAGAGCAGGUGACACAGGAAAGCAUCCAGCAAAUGCAACUACUGUUCUUGACAAACACAUGAUUUACAAAAUGAGGAAUAAAGAAUUAUGCCAGCUAGAGAGAGAGAGAAGGAAGAUGAAACAAGCACAGUAAUACACAGGAGGCAAAAAGAAAGAGCAAGAACAUUACGUUCAUCAGCCACGGACCCAAAUUAGCUUGGGAAAGAGAUGUGGAAAUUGGAUUAACUCCUAUGAAAACAUCAGGGAAUUAUUAGUGCCCAAAGGACUCACCUGCAGCGUGGACCUGGAUGUGGAUGUGGCUGGAAAAGCCUGUUCCCCAUCCCACUCUGUACCUGGUUUAGCUCCAUUCCCAGCCGGGCCCAACCCACGGCUCAGCUGGAUCAUUCCCUCAUCGGGAUCCAUUCCUGCCUGGAAUUCUGAAACACCAGUGACAGUGGUUCUCCUGGACUUGUGUCAACCUGUGCCAGUGCUUUCCUGGGAUUUGGACACAGGAAUAGGUGAGGAUGCUCUUCCUUCUCCACCCCGCUUCGUCCCGUGAACUGCUUACACCAAACCAGGAAAACUCGGCAAGAGAGGAGAAAAAAAUCGGUCUGGACUGAAAGCAAACUACUCCUGCCCCCCCAGCAGUGCCGCCAUCCACCGAGGGAAGGGAGGGCCAUGGAAACACCGGGAAGUACAACACCUAAACGCUCCCAGGAGCUUGGACACAGCUCUGGGAUGGGGUGGGAGGCAGCGGGGGCUCGGGGAGCCACGGACACGCCCGAGGGACACCGGCGAGCGGAGCGACGUGGGACGGAAAAACGGGAGCCACCGCACCCCAAAAGAGCGGGAAUGGGAACCCAGCGGAGCAGGGCCAUGGAGCUGCCCCACGGAGCCGUGGGGUCCCAGCCGGGCCGGAGGGGACGAGCCCGGAGGAGCCCAGAGUCCAACCUACAGCAUCCUACUGGAAAAGCUACGGAAACCAAAAGCAACCGAUGGCUGCGGCCUUGGAAUUCUCCAUCAGAGCUGCGAUCCCACAUCCCAUGAGGAAUCUGCACUCUCCUGCAGGGACCUGAGUGGAGCACAGCACUUCCAGGCAAGGUUCAUUCCAAACAGACAGGAUCCAUGAACACUCAGUGGCGUGAAGGGGAUGUCAUAAUUAAGUUUCAACACUUUUAGGUAUUUUCACACCAGGUUUUGACACAGCCAGAAAUUUGACCGAACACACAAUGGCAGCGAAAGCCUUUUUUGGGUGACACCACUUUUCCAUGCACAACUGAUUUAGUAAAGCCCAAACCUAACCUCUCUGAAGGCAACUGGCACAAGUUUCUUACGGGAAACCACGGGGAAAUUCAGUCCUAUGAGCUACAGGUAAGGAAAAAAACCAAACCAUGCUGCUAAAAUAGGAGACAAAGACCAAAAUGACGACGCUUUGGUGGGCACGUGGAGAGAGAGAGAGAUGUGCAUAGAUAUAUAAAUAUACCUUCCCCUCCUCAGCGUUCUGUUGACAUGAAUUGUGAACUUCUUCCUCCCUCACCAGUUUCCCAGGCCAUGAAGUGAGUCCUUUGAUCUGGCCCCAGACCAAGUCGCCCACGUUGAACGUCCUUGGCCUGUAGUGGAGGAGCUCGUGGGAGGAAGGCGAGUCGGGGUUCCUCAGGUCCUCCUCGCUGCUGAUGCUUUUAGCAUCCGAGGGGCUGGGCACACACCCAUUAAUGCUUUUGGCAUUAAAAUCUCCAUUGUAAUGGAUGUAGUCUUUCACCAAGGAGCUCUCCAAGCUAUUGGAGGAGCUCGGGGAUUGCUCUUCCAGACCCAGGUCUUGUUUGGAAGCGCUCAGCAGGUCCCCGAAGGCCCUGCCCUGCUGCGGCCUGUUCCCGUUGAUGUGUGCACAGCGUUCCACAGUGUUCUCCAGUCUGUCCUUGAAGCUCAGCAUAGUUCUUUUGUAAUUGUUAUACCUGAAAUUCUCCUCCAGCGCCUUCUCGCUCUGGCAGUUCCUCUGCGGCAGCAGGGCCUGGUGCUGCUCCCCCGGCAGCAGGGGCAGGGCCGAGGCGUUGUUGGGCCUCUCGUGGCAGGGGCUGCCGUGCAGGUGGGAGUGCUCCAGGAACUCCUCGCACUUCCACCUGUUUAGCUCACCCACCGGGCUCUGCUCCCCUUCCCACUGUUUUUUGGGGGUGUUACAGCUGGCCGCCUUGUAAUACUCGUAGCCCUCGCCCUCCCCGGGGUUCUUGCCGUGCUCGGCGCCCUUGGGGCCGCGCGCGCCGCGGGCGCCCCUGGCCCUGCCCUCGUGCUCGGGCACGGCCACGCCGCGGCCGUGGAUGACGGCGCUGACGGCGCUGGAGAGGUUCAGGGGGUCCCCGAUGGAGGCUGUGAAGGCACUCAUGGCACUCAGGGCGGGGAUGGGGCUCAUCUGGGUGGUGCUGCUCACGGCCGUGGUGAUCACCACCUGCAUCCCCUUGCUGGCCGCGUCCACCACCGCCUUGUAGAUGGCGUCCACCGACGGGUCCCCCGGGCCGCCCACGGGCAGGGAAUCCUUGGGCUGCUGCCCCAGGGGGGGCUCGGCCCGGGGCUGCAGCUCACAGGAGGGUUCUGGGAAGGGAGGGAGCAUCGCGUUGGAGCUGUCGGGAACCGGCGCCAUUCCCAUCUGGGUGAUCAUCCGCUUGUUCAGGACCGCGGCGUCCUCCUGCAUCCUCACCUGGGGAAGGACAGGAGAAGAUGGGAGUUCAUAUUCUGGAUUAAUGUUUCAUGGAAUUGCAGAGGUGUUGGGGUUGGGAGGGGCCUCUGGAGAUCACCCAGUCCAACCCCCCUGCCAAAGCAGGGUCACCUGGAGCAGGUGACACAGGAACUUGUCUGGGUGGGUUUGGAAUGUCCCCAGAGAGGGAGACUCCACAACUAUUUCAACAGACAAACUUGGUCUCAUUUUAAUUAAACCCCGAGGUGGUGGCCAGGGUGACUGUUCCUCACAGGACACCAUUUUGAUUAAAUUCCAGUUAUGAAGUUAAAUGCAGAACAAGGUAGAGAGAAAACAAAAAACCCUAAUUUAGAGGAAAUCAGACCCACUGGCUCUCAGACUUUGCCUCGUGGAUCAAACUGGACAUCUUGACAUGAUCCAGCCCCCCAUGCACUGCUGAGACUUCACCAUCAUCCCUUUCAGAGCCUUUCAGGAAUUUCCUCGUCUGAUUGAAGCUCAGCUCUUUCCUUUUCUUCUCUCAAGUCCUAAACAACUCCACCAAGGUCAGUACUUUUGUUACAGAAUCCCAGGAUGGUCUGGCUUGGAAGAACCUUAAAGCCCAUCCAGUGCCACCCCUGCCAUGGGCAGGGACACCUUCCACCAGCCCAGGUUGCUCCAACCUGGCCUUGGACACUUCCAGGGAUCCAGGGACAGCCACAUCUUCUCUGGGCAACCUGGGCCAGGGCCUCCCCACCCUUACAGCCAAGGAUUUUUUUCCUAAUAUCCCAUCUAAAUCCCACAACCUUCUCUUCUCCAGGCUCCUCCAGCUGAGAUGAUCCAGUCCAAGCUCCAGCUACAGGAGGUUGCACAGGAUCACAUCCAGGGUAAAAGCACUGCCUGGCUCUAUCUCCAUGUCCCAUCCUCACAUCUGGAAUUCUGCAGCAACCACAGCAACCCCGAGUAACAAUAAAUCCGUAUUUCCCUCCGGGUUUAUUCCCUACUUUUGCCAUGUCAGUGUGUUGGUUGGAUAUUCAAGUUGCACUGUGAAGAACUGGCUAUUUAGGUGAGAGCAGCAAAGGAUCAUUUUUGCACAGUUUGUCACUGUACAUUCACUUUAAUCCCUGUUUUCUUCAGGCUGCAGAAUCCAGCAGCUCUUCCAUGCAGUUGCAGUGGGAAUACAAGAGGACUGGCACACACAGUCACCUACAAUAACUCAUUAAGCUUCUAAUUAUUGUGAAGUGGUUCCAGCAUUUAUUUCUCACUGUUGCAUUAUCAGAAUGGGCUGAAUGGGAAUUUAUGAUCCUUUCUGCACAAUGGAAAAGAGUUUUGCUAAAAAUUCAUAGUAUUGUCAGCACGUAAAUAGCAUAUUUUUUUCAAUACAUGCAGCAUAACUCCUUCCAAAGAAACUGGACCCAAUUCCUGCAGAGAAAGGUAUAAAAUUUCCAUAAAAAUGUCACUGAUUUGCAAAACCCAGAGUGAAAGAGCAAAAUGUAGACAGUGCAUAUAUAUAAUUUAUAUGGAUCAUAUUGCCUUAAUCAGCAAAGAAACCCAGACCCUGGGGGAUGUAAUUUUACCUCCUGAGAGCUGCACAUUUGUUGGAAUAUUGCUUCCCUCUUGCUUCCUACCUGGA